GGGAUUGCCCUAGUAACGGCGAGUGAAGCGGCAACAGCUCAGAUUUGAAAUCUGGCCUUUUAGGUCCGAAUUGUAAUCUGUAGAGGAUGCUUUUGGUACGAUGCCUUCUGAGUCCCCUGGAACGGGGCGCCAUAGAGGGUGAGAGCCCCGUACGGUUGGACAUUGUUACCUCUGUAAAGCACCUUCGACGAGUCGAGUAGUUUGGGAAUGCUGCUCAAAGCGGGAGGUAAAUUUCUUCUAAAGCUAAAUAUUGGCCAGAGACCGAUAGCGCACAAGUAGAGUGAUCGAAAGAUGAAAAGCACUUUGAAAAGAGGGUUAAAAAGCACGUGAAAUUGUUGAAAGGGAAGCGUUUGUGACCAGACUUGGUUUUAGCAGAUCAUCCGGCGUUCUCGCCGGUGCACUCUGUUGGAUUCAGGCCAGCAUCGGUUUUUUGAGAGACAUAAAGGUUUUAGGAACGUAGCUCUUCGGAGUGUUAUAGCCUAUUACACAAUAUCUCUUAGGGGACCGAGGCCCGCGCAUUGCAAGGAUGCUGGCGUAAUGGUCACCAGCGACCCGUCUUGAAACACGGACCAAGGAGUCAAGCAUUAGGGCGAGUGUUUGGGUGAAAAACCCGCACGCGAAAUGAAAGUGAACGCUGGUGAGAGCUUCGGCGCAUCAUCGACCGAUCCUGAAGUUUUCGGAUGGAUUUGAGUAAGAGCCUUAACGCUUGGACCCGAAAGAUGGUGAACUAUGCUUGUAUAGGGUGAAGCCAGAGGAAACUCUGGUGGAGGCUCGCAGCGGUUCUGACGUGCAAAUCGAUCGUCAAAUAUGAGCAUGGGGGCGAAAGACUAA
rnacentral:rRNA from 1 species